UGGGAGUGAAAGCAUGCAUCAUCAUGC
rnacentral:misc_RNA from 1 species